AUGCCUCCAAAACCUCUCCCAGCACCAGGAAGAAGAAGAAGCAGAAGAAGAAGAAGAAGAGGGGAGAAAAAGAAGGAGAGAGGAGGUGGGGAGUUGGCGGGCAUGUCCGGUGGAGAGAAAACGCCAACGGUCCCGGAGUGUCCAAGGAGCCUUCCCAAGGGCAGGCAGUGCCAGGAGCCGUGGGCCAGACAAAGGCAUCGCCCACUGAACGCUACCAGCAAUGAAAGAAAACAAAACAAAUCCAAACUUGUCGACAGUUUUUGGAGACGCUCUGUUCAGCUGAUGCCUGCUUCCCACCAUCAUGCCAGCACAAGCCAAAAAGUCUUCCUUCCUGAUGGCAGUCCUUGGCUUUCCCAACCAGAGGAAAAAUAUUCAGGAACUGCUGUGUUCUUUGUGUUUUGUUUUUGUUUUUUUUUUUUGUGUUUUUUUUUUUUAAUUAAUUUUUACUUAAGGCAUUGUUCCUCAAACUUCAGAAAAAUCCAGCUGCACCAAAUCCAUCAAUUAAAAAAAAAGGCACAAACUCAUCUUCAGAUGGCUUUGGAGACAAUAAAGCCGACUCCAUCUGGGCUACCGUUCCCCCCCUUCUGCUUCCCUUUUCUUUAGGUGUCAGAUGAGUCCCUCGUUCCCUGUCCCUCCCCGUUAAAAAUUCACCAUCAUCUCCCAACGUUCCCGUUCCGACAAGAGCUGUCGUUGACUCACAGGCAGGCAAGAGCCAUUUCCAAAUAUCCAAGAAAUGAAAGUACACGAUGGGUUGAGUGGUUCAAGCGGAGAUUGCUCAGUUGUGGGUAAUCAACUUUGUAAGCACCAGUUUUAUGUUAAGGUUUGUUUCAUUUGUGUUGUUGAAUCUUUGACUUCUUUAUUAUUCUCGUGUUUUGUUUUUGUUUAUUUUUUGUUUGGCAACUCUGCCAAAGACUUCCAGGCAUCAUUCCUCUUUCCGCUCCCGGUGAGGACCAGAGGAAGAGUGCCCAACGUGUCAGUCCUUUGCUGCUCUUCACCAGCGGUUCUUUUUCGGCAAAAAGAGACUCAAAGAUGCGGAGAGAUUUGUUUUUUUGUGUCGCUUGCUUUGCUUUACACCUGGCUGUCCUUCCGUGUUCGGGAAAUAACCGUGACAGGACGCAGGAGUAACAAGAGAAAGCUUCUUGGCAGAGCUUCAAGACGAAGACGAACAGACAGGAGAA
rnacentral:lncRNA from 1 species